AACGAACGCUGGCGGCAUGCCUAACACAUGCAAGUCGAACGAGACCUUCGGGUCUAGUGGCGCACGGGUGCGUCACGUGUGGGAACCUGCCCUUAGGUUCGGAAUAACUCCCUGAAAGGGGUGCUAAUAUCGGAUAAUGUCUUCGGACCAAAGAUUCAUCGCCUUUGUAUGGGCCCGCGUUGGAUUAGCUAGUUGGUAGCGUAAAAGCCUACCAAGGCGACGAUCCAUAGCUGGUCUGAGAGGAUGAGCAGCCACACUGGGACUGAGACACGGCCCAGACUCCUACGGGAGGCAGCAGUGGGGAAUAUUGGACAAUGGGCGAAAGCCUGAUCCAGCAAUGCCGCGUGAGUGAUGAAGGCCUUAGGGUUGUAAAGCUCUUUUACCCGGGAUGAUAAUGACAGUACCGGGAGAAUAAGCUCCGGCUAACUCCGUG
rnacentral:rRNA from 1 species